rnacentral:rRNA from 1 species
AAUUUUGGACAAUGGGGGAAACACUGAUCCAGCCAUCACGCGUGUAUGAUGAAGGACUUCGGGUUGUAACGUACUUUUGGCCGAGAAGAAAAGGUAUACUCUAAUACGCGAUAAUGCUGGCGGUAUCUGCAGAAUACGCACCGGCUAACUCUGUGCCAGAUGCCGCGGUAAUACGUAGGGUGCAAGAGUUAGUCGGAAUUACUGGGCGUAAAGGGUGUGUAGGCGGUGCGGAAAGAAAGAUGUGAAAUCCCAGGGCUCAACCUUGGAACUGCAUUUUUAACUACCGAGCUAGAGUAUGUCAGAGGGGGGUAGAAUUCCACGUGUAGCAGUGAAAUGCGUAGAUAUGUGAAGGAAUACCGAUGGCGAAGGCAGCCCCCUGGGAUAAUACUGACGCUCAGACACGAAAGCGUGGGGAGCAAACAGG